GCCAACAUGGCAUAGUGGUUAGAGUGUUGGACUCGGAUGCUGGAGACCAGGGUUCAAUUCCCAGAUCAACCA